AUUGAACGCUGGCGGCAGGCCUAACACAUGCAAGUCGAGCGGAUGAAGGGAGCUUGCUCCUGGUUUCAGCGGCGGACGGGUGAGUAAUGCCUAGGAAUCUGCCUGGUAGUGGGGGAUAACGUCCGGAAACGGGCGCUAAUACCGCAUACGUCCUGAGGGAGAAAGUGGGGGAUCUUCGGACCUCACGCUAUCAGAUGAGCCUAGGUCGGAUUAGCUAGUUGGUGGGGUAAAGGCCUACCAAGGCGACGAUCCGUAACUGGUCUGAGAGGAUGAUCAGUCACACUGGAACUGAGACACGGUCCAGACUCCUACGGGAGGCAGCAGUGGGGAAUAUUGGACAAUGGGCGAAAGCCUGAUCCAGCCAUGCCGCGUGUGUGAAGAAGGUCUUCGGAUUGUAAAGCACUUUAAGUUGGGAGGAAGGGCAGUAAGUUAAUACCUUGCUGUUUUGACGUUACCAACAGAAUAAGCACCGGCUAACUUCGCG
rnacentral:rRNA from 1 species